AGGGGUGUGGUGAAGUGGUAUCAUAGGGGUCUCCAAAACCUUUGGUGGGAGUUCGAUUCUCUCCACCCCUGCUA
rnacentral:tRNA from 3 species